rnacentral:rRNA from 1 species
AUUGAACGCUGGCGGCAGGCCUAACACAUGCAAGUCGAACGAGGGGCGGACGGGUGAGUAAUGUCUGGGAAACUGCGUGAUGGAGGGGGAUAACUAAUGGAAACGGUAGCUAAUACCGCAUACCAUCAGAUGUGCCCAGAUGGGAAUAGCUAGUAGGUGGGGUAACGGCGCACCAAGGCGACGAUCCCUAGCUGGUCUGAGAGGAUGACCCUCCACACUGGAACUGCGACACUGUCCAGACUCCUACGGGCGGCAGCAGUGGGGAAUAUUGCACAAUGGGCGCAAGCCGGCUGCAGCCCUGCCGCGUGUAUGAAGCAGGCCUUCGGUUUGUAAAGUACUUUCAGCGGGGAGGCGUUACCCGCAGAAGAAGCACCGGCUAACUCCGUGCUAGCCGCCGCGGUACUAC